GGCACUGUGGCUUAGUGGUUAGGACAUUUGCCUUGUAUGUUAAGGGUUCGAUUCCUGCCUCUGCCU